rnacentral:lncRNA from 1 species
GGCCACUGGCUGCUGACAGUGCUGGUUCCAUUUUGGUGGGAGAGGCGGCCAGCUGUGACAAGUGAUUGGGUUGAUGUGUGGUGGAUGCAGGAUGCUCUUCUGUUUGAAGGGUGGAAAAAACACCCCAUUGUGUACACAAAUGGACACUUCAAAAUCUUAUUUGCAGAUGGGCAUAGAGGUCAUUUCCACACCCUGGCUAUCUUGACCACUGCCUCAGUGAUUAGAGUAGGGCCGGUGCCCGUUCCAGACCUCGAUUAAAACCUUUUAACUACCCA